GAGGAGGAUCAUGUUGAAGACUGCUGUAUGUUAAUAUUGGACUUAUUAAAAAUCUCAGAGCUCUGAAACCUGCUGUCUAACUCUGCUAACAUAUUGGAAAUGGUAAAUGCAAGCAGUGAAAGACAUACCUGAAAACCAUUUGUUUACGUACAGGCAUUCUAGCAAUGACUUUUGUGGAAGUGAAAGACAGUCGUUUAUAAUUUAAGUUAAAGUCUAACUCUGUGUUACGGUGUGUUUGACCAUAACUUAAAUUAUCCCUUUAGAAUAUCCCUUUAAGAGAGAAGUUAAAAAGACUAGGACCUCUUAAUGGUGCUACUGUUACUGUCUGCAUCUAUUAAAAGUGAUAACAGAAAUACAAUGAGGUUUUAUAUUCAUCUAAGUGGAAAUUAAAUGUCGAUUUGAACUUAAAAGGAAUAGUUUCUUUGUUUUAGGUGGGGUUGCCUGGGGUACUUGUCAAUAGCUGUGGUGAGACGCCUCCAUCUCCAGUUUUAUUUUGAUAGAACUUCCUGUUUUCCUUUCCUUCCUUGUGUUCCUGGUCUGGCUUGACUUUUUUUCAGAGCACCCUCCCCUCCCCCCGGUCGCUGAGGCUGAGAGAGACUCCACACCUGCACUUCAUUGGCAAUCAUGGCUCUUGAAGAAGCCAGCAGCCCUCAGUCUCAGUGCCUGAGUAUUGUCUUCGCUCCUGACUGGUACAGACGCUUCUCCUGGCCUUCUCCUCGGAUAAGUGCUUGUGACUUUUUGCUCCCUGUGAUUCUUUGUAUGUAUUCUCACUUCCAUCUCCUCUGCUUCUCCACAGUGUCUCAACCCCACACAACAGCCAGCCAGCAAACCGGACUUUCUCUCGUGCCUUCUUCCCUGAGUUGGACAUCAAAAUUAUAUUGUUUAACUUGCUAUCUGUCUCUGUGUCUGCUUCUGGGUCCACAAAAUACACCACACACCACAAUAGCAAGUGUAUUCACCUCAGGAAAUGCAAGACAGCUCAGCCCCCUUUGCUGAGAAAUCAGCCCAGGACCUGUAACAGAAGCAAGACCAUAAGCAGCUGUAAACAGGGUUAGCUCUACCAUGUAACUUAACUCUUUCUUGCACAGUCCAGCAGAAGCAGUGCUCGAGGUGAAGGCGCUUACUCUUAUUUGGAAAUUUUUCAGGACUAUUACAUGUCAAUUACAUGACAUGUAAAUCAUACAGCCUUAUUUCAAAAAAAUAUUGAACUACUCCUUUAAGCUGGCUGAUAAAAACACUACCGGUUAGCUAUCAACCAUGAGAAAUGAGAGACUGCUUUUCAGCUGUACAAGUAAACCCAUGAUACCUGAUUUAAGUCAUUGUAGAAGGCCUCGUGAAUAGACAUGAAAAGAAGUAUGGUUCAAGAAAAGCCCUCCAUAUGUACAAACUCCAUAUAGAUGGUCAUCUACCGCUUUGUUUGGCUGUACUGUUCUUCUGCUGUCUUUGGCCUCCAUAACUUCACCUCGUAAAUU